UACGAAGGGGGCUAGCGUUGUUCGGAAUCACUGGGCGUAAAGGGCGCGUAGGCGGCUUUGUAAGUCGGGGGUGAAAGCCCGGGGCUCAACCCCGGAACUGCCUUUAAGACUGCAUCGCUUGAAUCCGGGAGAGGUGAGUGGAAUUCCGAGUGUAGAGGUGAAAUUCGUAGAUAUUCGGAAGAACACCAGUGGCGAAGGCGGCUCACUGGACCGGUAUUGACGCUGAGGUGCGAAAGCGUGGGGAGCAAACAGG
rnacentral:rRNA from 1 species